GCGACGCCGCGUGAGGGAUGACGGCCUUCGGGUUGUAAACCUCUUUCGUAGGGAAGAAGGCCUUCGGGUUGACGGUACCUGCAGAAGAAGCGCCGGCUAACUACGUGCCAGCAGCCGCGGUAAUACGUAGGGCGCAAGCGUUGUCCGGAAUUAUUGGGCGUAAAGAGCUCGUAGGCGGUUGGUCGCGUCUGCUGUGAAAACCCGAGGCUCAACCUCGGGCCUGCAGUGGGUACGGGCCGACUAGAGUGCGGUAGGGGAGAAUGGAAUUCCUGGUGUAGCGGUGGAAUGCGCAGAUAUCAGGAGGAACACCGAUGGCGAAGGCAGAUCUCUGGGCCGUAACUGACGCUGAGGAGCGAAAGGGUGGGGAGCAAACAGGCUUAGAUACCCUGGUAGUCCACCCCGUAAACGUUGGGAACUAGUUGUGGGGACCAUUCCACGGUUUCCGUGACGCAGCUAACGCAUUAAGUUCCCCGCCUGGGGAGUACGGCCGCAAGGCUAAAACUCAAAGGAAUUGACGG
rnacentral:rRNA from 1 species